rnacentral:tRNA from 1 species
AGGAGUUUAGGUUAACCCAGACCAAGAGCCUUCAAAGCUCUAAGUAAAUAUCAACUAUUUAACUCCUG